UGGAUCUUUAUUCCAGGUGGUCUGGCUAGCC
rnacentral:piRNA from 1 species